rnacentral:rRNA from 1 species
GAGGUUGGCUUAGAAGCAGCCAUCCUUGAAAGAGUGCGUAAUAGCUCACUGGUCGAGUGGUUGUGCGCCGACAAUGUAGUGGGGCUUAAGUGCACCGCCGAAGCCGCGGAAACCAUGCUUUUGUGUGUGGUUUGGUAGGGGAGCGUCGUGUGCUCGUGGAAGCUGCCAGGUGACUGGUGGUGGAGGGUAUGCGAGUGAGAAUGCAGGCAUGAGUAGCGAAUGACAAGUGAGAAUCUUGUCCGCCGGAUGACUAAGGGUUCCUGGGUUAAGCUUUUCUUCCCAGGGUGAGUCGGGGCCUAAGGCGAGGCCGUCAGGCGUAGUCGAUGGAUAACGGGUUGAUAUUCCCGUACCCGUGCAUGCGCGCCCAUGGUGAAUCAGUGAUACUAACCGCCCUGAAGCACGUGCAAUGAUCUUUUGGGUUGUUGUGUGUGUGGAUGCGUGGGGCCUGAUCUGGUAGUAGUCAAGUGAUGGGGUGACGCAGUGUGGUAGCCGAGCCACUUAUUGGAUUGUGGUGUAAGCGUGUAGCCCGGCAUCUAGGUAAAUCCGGAUGCUGUUGUGGGUGAGGCGUGAUGCGUACCCGUUGUGGGGAUGUUGGUGAUCCAUUGCUGUCGAGAAAAGCCUCUAGCGAUGUGUGUGUGCGGCCCGUACCCGAAACCGACACAGGUGGUCAGGUAGAGAAUACUAAGGCGACGGGUGAACUGUGGUUAAGGAAUUCGGCAAAAUGCCCCCGUAACUUCGGGAGAAGGGGGACCACUGCUGGUGACAGACUGGUUGAGCUGGUGGUGGUCGCAGAGAGUAGAGGGAAGCGACUGUUUACUAAAAACACAGGUCCGUGCGAAGACGUGAAGUCGAGGUAUACGGACUGACGCCUGCCCGGUGCUGGAAGGUUAAGAGGACCUGUUAGGCCACGUUGUGGUCGAAGCGGAGAAUUUAAGCCCCAGUAAACGGCGGUGGUAACUAUAACCAUCCUAAGGUAGCGAAAUUCCUUGUCGGGUAAGUUCCGACCUGCACGAAUGGCGUAACGACUUCUCUGCUGUCUCAACCACAGGCCCGGCGAAAUUGCAGUACGAGUAAAGAUGCUCGUUACGCGCGGCAGGACGAAAAGACCCCGGGACCUUCACUAUAGCUUGGUAUUGGUGUUUGGUUCGGUUUGUGUAGGAUAGGUGGGAGACUGUGAAGCGGCCACGCUAGUGGUGGUGGAGUCGUUGGUGAAAUACCACUCUGAUCGUAUUGAGCAUCUCAACCUCGGCCCAUGAUCUGGGUUAGGGACAGUGCCUGGUGGGUAGUUUAACUGGGGCGGUUGCCUCCUAAAAGGUAACG